rnacentral:rRNA from 1 species
GACGAACGCUGGCGGCGUGCUUAACACAUGCAAGUCGAACGGAAAGGCCCUGCUUUUGUGGGGUGCUCGAGUGGCGAACGGGUGAGUAACACGUGAGUAACCUGCCCUUGACUUUGGGAUAACUUCAGGAAACUGGGGCUAAUACCGGAUAGGAGCUCCUGCUGCAUGGUGGGGGUUGGAAAGUUUCGGCGGUUAGGGAUGGACUCGCGGCUUAUCAGCUUGUUGGUGGGGUAGUGGCUUACCAAGGCUUUGACGGGUAGCCGGCCUGAGAGGGUGACCGGCCACAUUGGGACUGAGAUACGGCCCAGACUCCUACGGGAGGCGGCAGUGGGGAAUAUUGCACAAUGGGCGGAAGCCUGAUGCAGCAACGCCGCGUGCGGGAUGACGGCCUUCGGGUUGUAAACCGCUUUCGCCUGUGACGAAGCGUGAGUGACGGUAAUGGGUAAAGAAGCACCGGCUAACUACGUG